rnacentral:rRNA from 1 species
AAGAAAGUAAGUAAGGGCGCAUGGCGGAUGCCUUGGCUCUCAGAGGCGAUGAAGGACGUGAUAAGCUGCGAUAAGCUUCGGGUAGGUGCAAAUAACCUUUUAUCCGGAGAUUUCCGAAUGGGGCAACCCAGUGUUAUGAAGUAACAUUAUUCCUGCUUGCAGGAAAGCUAACCCAGUGAACUGAAACAUCUAAGUAACUGGAGGAAUAGAAAACAAUAGUGAUUCCCUUAGUAGCGGCGAGCGAAAGGGGAAUAGCCCAAAUCUCAGCGGUUUCGGCCGUUGAGAGGUUGUAGACUGCAUUGUGGACUUUAAAUUUGAAGUAGAAUCUUUUUGGAAAAUUAAACCAUAGAAGUGAAAGUCCUGUAUACGAAUCAAAUUUAAUACCUAGCAGUAUCC